rnacentral:rRNA from 1 species
UACGUAGGGUGCGAGCGUUAAUCGGAAUUACUGGGCGUAAAGCGUGCGCAGGCGGUUAUGCAAGACAGAUGUGAAAUCCCCGGGCUCAACCUGGGAACUGCAUUUGUGACUGCAUGGCUGGAGUGCGGCAGAGGGGGAUGGAAUUCCGCGUGUAGCAGUGAAAUGCGUAGAUAUGCGGAGGAACACCGAUGGCGAAGGCAAUCCCCGUGGGCCUGCACUGACGCUCAUGCACGAAAGCGUGGGGAGCAAACAGG